AGCCACAGUGGCGGCAGUAACCACCUCAGUGAGCAGACUCAGGGUGCGUGCCACUCCAGGUGUGGGUGCCAGUGUCUCUCCUGGCGGCUCUAUCCUCUCACUCACUCACAUGGCUCACCUGGUGGCACCAAAAGACAGCUUAGCUGGUGGAGUUCAUCAAGAGUGGCCACCAGCAGUCCUGCAUCAGUCACCUGCAGGGAUGAGAUGAACAUUAAAAGGAAGCAGAAACAUGAGCUGAAUAUCAACAGAAUGCUGAAAAGGAAGAAUGGUGACACAAGUGGUAGAAGAGAACUGAAGGAGAGCAGGAGGUGACUGAGUGAACAACACAGGGAGGAUUAAAUGGUAUACUUAAGAAUGCUUAUUUUAAAGUCUAUCUAUUAUAUCCCCAUUAAAGCAGGGUAGCUGACACACGGCCCCUACAACAUAUAACAUCUUGUCUCAUCCUAGGAAUAAACGAUACAAAGGAGAAGGUA